UUCGCAAUGCCCGAAAGGGUGAUGGAGCGACGCCGCGUGUGGGAAGAAGGCCUUCGGGUUGUAAACCACUGUCGGGAGUUAAGAAAUGCAAGGGUGCUAAUAGUAUCCUUGCUUGACUAAGGCUCCGGAGGAAGCCACGGCUAACUCUGUGCCAGCAGCCGCGGUAAUACAGAGGCGGCAAGCGUUGUUCGGAAUUAUUGGGCGUAAAGAGCACGUAGGCGGCUAUGUAAGUCGGUUGUGAAAGCCUUCCGCUCAACGGAAGAACAGCAUCCGAUACUGCAUGGCUUGAGUGCGGGAGGGGAGAGUGGAACUUCUGGUGGAGCGGUGAAAUGCGUAGAUAUCAGAAGGAACGCCGGCGGCGAAAGCGGCUCUCUGGCCCAUAACUGACGCUGAGUGUGCGAAAGCUAGGGGAGCAAACGGGAUUAGAUACCCCGGUAGUCCUAGCCGUAAACGAUGGGCACUAAGUAGAGGGGUUUU
rnacentral:rRNA from 1 species